rnacentral:rRNA from 1 species
UACGUAGGUGGCAAGCGUUGUCCGGAAUUACUGGGCGUAAAGCGUGCGCAGGCGGCUUCUCAAGUCAGGGGUGAAAGCCCAGAGCUCAACUCUGGAAUUGCCUUUGAGACUGAGUGGCUUGAGUACGAGAGAGGUGAGUGGAAUUCCCAGUGUAGAGGUGAAAUUCGUAGAUAUUGGGAAGAACACCGGUGGCGAAGGCGGCUCACUGGCUCGUAACUGACGCUCAUGCACGACAGCGUGGGGAUCAAACAGG